CGCGGAUCCUGACCUCGACCAGGCAUCUCCGCCUCGCUCCCUACGGCGUUCGCUGCGGGCUCAGCGACUCGGUUUAUCUGGAAAUAUUCUACCUAGGAGUCAGCUAAGCACUUCCUAUGGUACCCUUGAAUGUAAGACUCGCUGGCCACCGGAGCCAGGAGAGCAGGUGGCAUCUUCUGGGCAGAAGCUGCAAAAACCAGGCAUGAGACAUGCACACGAGCUCCUUUCCGGGAAAUACCAGUGACCUGGGGUGAGGAAGCCUGUCCCCCACACUUCUAAGCUGAGUGGCCUGCACUGGUAAGAAAACUAUUGUGGGGAAGAUUUCAAGCAAUCCUGAAGGCAAACAGCUGCAGCAGAGAGCUAAAUUCUGGUGAGAGUUUCAACAAACUUUCCUUAAGUCUGACAUCAGCGGAUCUUAUUGUAACUUGCUUAUUAGUUUGUGCCUUUCC